AUUGAACGCUGGCGGCAUGCCUUACACAUGCAAGUCGAACGGCAGCGGGCCCUUCGGGGUGCCGGCGAGUGGCGAACGGGUGAGUAAUGCAUCGGAACGUACCCGGGAGAGGGGGAUAACCGGCCGAAAGGCUGGCUAAUACCGCAUGAACUCGGAAGAGCAAAGCGGGGGACCUUCGGGCCUCGCGCUCUCGGAGCGGCCGAUGUCCGAUUAGGCUAGUUGGUGGGGUAAAGGCCCACCAAGGCGACGAUCGGUAGCGGGUCUGAGAGGACGAUCCGCCACACUGGGACUGAGACACGGCCCAGACUCCUACGGGAGGCAGCAGUGGGGAAUCUUGGACAAUGGGCGCAAGCCUAAUCCAGCAAUGCCGCGUGGGUGAAGAAGGCCUUCGGGUUGUAAAGCCCUUUCGGCGGGGAAGAAAUCGGUCAGGCGAAUAGUCUGGCCGGAUGACGGUACCCGCAGAAGAAGCACCGGCUAACUACGUG
rnacentral:rRNA from 1 species